AUACUUACCUGGCAGGGGAGAUACCAUGAUCAAGAAGGUGGCUCACCCAGGGUGAGGCUCAGCUAUUGUACUCCAGUUGUACUGAUCUGUGCAAAUUCCCCAAAUGUGGGAAUUUUGACUGCAUAGUUUCUGGUAGUGGGGGACUGUGUUUGUGCUCUCCCCUG